GACGAACGCUGGCGGCGUGCCUAAUACAUGCAAGUAGGACGCAGUUGCGAACGGGUGAGUAACGCGUAGGUAACUACCUAGUAGAGGGGGAUAACUCUUGGAAACGAUAGCCAAUACCGCAUUCUAGUCGAUGGACCUGCGUUGUAUUAGGUAGUAGGUAGGGUAAUGGACGGCCAAGGCAACGAUACAUAGCCGACCUGAGAGGGUGAUCGGCCACACUGGGACUGAGAAACGGCCCAGACUCCUACGGGAGGCAGCAGUAGGGAAUCGUCGGCAAUGGGGGGAAGCCUGACCGAGCAACGCCGCGUGAGUGAAGAAGGUUUUCGGAUCGUAAAGCUCUGUUGUUAAGGAAGCGGUACUUAACCAGAAAGGGACGGCUAACUACGUGCCAGCAGCCGCGGUAAUAC
rnacentral:rRNA from 1 species